rnacentral:lncRNA from 1 species
CAGAAAUUCAUGAUCCUUCUUUUAAGAGCUGCAUGGAUUUGGAGUCUUAUCCUCACUAGAAGAGAGGAAUGCACCCAAUGGAAAAGAGGAGAGCAACCAAAGUCUAAGCUAAGAGCAUAGUUUCAUUUCAAAACAGAUACAAAGCUAUGAGCAUGUAUAUGCAGAGGUAGAUCAACCUGGAAGCUACUACAAUAGUCCAGGUGAGACAUCAAGAGGACAACUGAGGAAAUAAAGUGGACAUGGAGAAGAGGGAGAAGAUUCAACUAUUUAUACAGUUUGAUGAGGCAGGAUACCAUGCUGUGGAGACCCAUUUGGCAAGAAACUAAAGGCAGCCACCAUCCAAAUGCUAGGAAAAAGCUACAGCUUUCUGUCUGAUGGCAAAGGAGACACUGAAUCCAGUCAACAAUAACAGGAGUUUGAUGGAAGAUCCAUUCCCCAGUGGAGCCUCAGAUAACACCUCAAGUCUGGCCAACAUUCUGACUGUAAACUUAUGAGAGACCCUGAAGCAGAGAAUUCAGCUAAUCCAUGCCUGGGUUUCUGACUCUCAAAAAUUCUGAGAUAAUAAAUGCAUGUUGUUUUAUGCCUUUAA